GAAAUAUAACGUAAUAAAUCUCGUAUAUAAUCGAUAAUAUGGAUCGAAAGUUUCUACCUGCAAACCGUAAAAGUGCAGACUACGAGGAGUUGUAUUUCAUUU
rnacentral:ncRNA from 1 species